AUUGAACGCUGGCGGCAGGCCUAACACAUGCAAGUCGAACGAGUGGCGGACGGGUGAGUAAUGUCUGGGAAACUGCCUGAUGGAGGGGGAUAACUACUGGAAACGGUAGCUAAUACCGCAUACCAUCGGAUGUGCCCAGCGGGGAUUAGCUAGUAGGUGGGGUAAAGGCUCACCUAGGCGACGAUCCCUAGCUGGGCGGAGAGGAUGACCAGCCACACUGGAACUGAGCCACGGUCCCGACUCCUACGGGAGGCAGCAGUGGGGAUUAUUGCACAAUGGGCGCCAGCCUGAUGCAGCCAUGCCGCGUGUGUGAAGAAGGCCUUCGGGUUGUAAAGCACUUUCAGCGAGGAGGCGUUACUCGCAGAAGAAGCACCGGCUAACUCCGUGCCAGCCGCCGCGGUAAUAC
rnacentral:rRNA from 1 species